rnacentral:rRNA from 1 species
CGGACGUGAGUAACCUGCCUUGGAGAGGGGAAUAACACAUCGAAAGAUGUGCUAAUACCGCAUGAAAUGUCUGAAUCGCAUGGUUCUGGGACAUCAAAGAUUUAUCGCUCUGAGAUGGACUCGCGUCUGAUUAGCUGGUUGGCGGGGUAACGGCCCACCAAGGCGACGAUGCGUAGGGGUUCUGAGAGGAAGGUCCCCCACACUGGUACUGAGACACGGACCAGACUCCUACGGGAGGCAGCAG